UUAUUUAUUGGGGUGUUCCUUAGAUAGGAAGAAGAUGAUAUAGUGCUUUAUUAAUAACCGAUGCAAUAUGUAACCCAAUUGGUUCCAUUUAUUGUCUUACACAUAAUACAGCAGUUUCAUAUAGUUUGAGUUUUAUGAACCCAGCUAGCAGAAGGUGCAGAUAGUAACAAAAAGGUGUCAGAAAAAGUAAAAAGGCAACAAGGUUCUUUAAAUAAUCCCCAUACCCUUUGUCUGCCAGAAGAAAAACAAAGCAUGCUGACACUGGGGGGAAUGAGUGCUUAGUGGCUGUCCAGUCAGUUAACAAGCGGAGUUGAUCCUGGUGUCAUGACCUUCAGUAGAAAUAAUUUAGCCUUCAUCAUUCAAAAUGCAAAUGAUUAAAAUGCAUUAAGUUCAACCAAUAACUCCUCAGUUUGCCAUGGCUUUAAAGCCAUUAAUGAGUACAUCUCUCAGCCUUCCACGUAAGAGGGGCAAAACUUGGACACCUUGGAGUUCAAUAUGACAUGGGGUGCAUGAACUAGACACUUUAGGUUAUUUUUAUUUUAAGUAACCUGGCCUAUCUGGCAGUUCUCACUGAAGGAGAGAGGAGAAUAGAUUACAUUUUGUGUGUAAGUGCAAGAGAUGAGCAAUCAUUUGGAUACAAAGGAUUAUCAUUUAGUGAAGAAAAUUAUAGUAAAUGUGUAUUUUAAUGAGUUACAAAUUGUAUUUCUAUGCAAUAAACUGUAGUGUCAAUUAAACAAAGAUUCUUAUCGGCUUUUUUUUUGAGCCAAAGUUACUGUGAAGAAAUAUAUUGUAACAACAUUCAGAAUCCUCUAACUUCAAAAACAUUGUAAAUCAUAACCUCUGUUAAUGAAGCAUGACACAGUCAACCUCCAUCUGUAACCGAAUCACGGGGAGAAAGAUAUCGGUCUAAAACUACAAUGAUAUGGGCACGGAGGAUUUCUACUGACUCUUGUAGAUGGGAACCAAAGCAAUGCAGAGUGAAGAAGAGGAUGAAUGUAUGCUCAAUAGUUACGGUACAUUAGUUAUGCUGACAAUACAGGCUGACAAUACCAUAAUACACCAACACGGAGCAGGAAUAAUACAUUUUUUUAAUUAUUAUUUUAAGUGCCAUUAAGAGCUAUUCCUGUAAGUUAACUCAAACCUCAACUGAGAGAUGGCCUUUAUCACUUGACCAGGUUGUAAAAGAAACAAUCCCGCCAUUGCUAUAGAGAUCUACAGGAAGUAAUAAAAUAAGCAUCCAUGGACAGUACGAGGAUGGAAGACCGAGAGAUGUACUUUAUGUGGGCAUCAUAUUUCAGAUCGCACCGAUUAGACCAAUACAUCAACUCUUUGGCCAGUGAGAGGCAAAGCCCAAACAAGGCCUGUAAAUAUGCUCUUAACGGAUCAAUCUGCCAUGCAAAUCUUCUAGUUGUUCUGGGGUCAGCACAAGCCGGUGUAGCUCGCCAUGCCCUGGCUGACAAGGGAGAACCACUUUGCCAAUGUAUACUGUGUCUUCUUUCUUCUCUUCUUUGGCCUUAAUGAAGGCAGAGGAAGGAAACGUGGCAAAAUGUGUUGGGACAUUUGCUCCAGUACAUUGGAAGACUGUCUCCUUUAGAACUUCAUUCUUCAGUUUGUCAAUUGUGUCACUGAGAGACUUUAGCCGGGCUGUCU